AGAGUUUGAUCCUGGCUCAGAUUGAACGCUGGCGGCAUGCCUUACACAUGCAAGUCGAACGGCAGCGCGGGAGCAAUCCUGGCGGCGAGUGGCGAACGGGUGAGUAAUAUAUCGGAACGUGCCUUAGAGCGGGGGAUAACUAGUCGAAAGACUAGCUAAUACCGCAUACGACCUACGGGUGAAAGUGGGGGAUCGCAAGACCUCAUGCUCUUAGAGCGGCCGAUAUCUGAUUAGCUAGUUGGUGGGGUAAAAGCCUACCAAGGCGAUGAUCAGUAGCUGGUCUGAGAGGACGACCAGCCACACUGGGACUGAGACACGGCCCAGACUCCUACGGGAGGGAGCUGUGGGGAAUUUU
rnacentral:rRNA from 1 species